rnacentral:rRNA from 1 species
AGCUCCAGUAGCGUAUAUUAAUGCUGCUGCAGUUAAAAAGCUCGUAGUUGUAUCUAGGGCUCAGGCAAGCGGUCCCUCGCAAGGGGUGCACUGCUUUGCCUGGCCUCCCUCGUGGUUUGCGCGCGGUUCUCUUAACUGAGUGCCGUGUGCGACCAGAACGUUUACUUUGAAAAAAUUGGAGUGUUCAAAGCAGGCGCAACAGCCUGAACAGCAGAGCAUGGAAUAAUGGAAUAGGACCUCGGUUCUAUUGCGUUGGUUUUAAGAGUCCGAGGUAAUGAUUGAGAGGGACUGACGGGGGCAUUCGUAUUGCGGUGUGAGAGGUGAAAUUCUUGGAUCGCCGCAAGACGACCGACAGCGAAAGCAUUUGCCAAGAAUGUCUUCAUUAAUCAAGAACGAAAGU